rnacentral:rRNA from 1 species
AUACGGAGGGUGCAAGCGUUACUCGGAAUCACUGGGCGUAAAGCGCGCGCAGGCGGCUAUUUAAGUUGGAUGUGAAAGCCUACGGCUCAACCGUAGAACUGCAUCCAAAACUAUUUAGCUAGAGUGUGGGAGAGGAAGAUGGAAUUAGUUGUGUAGGGGUAAAAUCCGUAGAGAUAACUAGGAAUACCAAAAGCGAAGGCAAUCUUCUGGAACACUACUGACGCUGAGGCGCGAAUGCGUGGGGAGCAAAUAGGAUUAGAUACCCUAGUAGUCC